UUACAUGACACAGUGUGCCUGCUUUUGAUGU
rnacentral:piRNA from 1 species